GAGUUUGAUCCUGGCUCAGAUUGAACGCUGGCGGCAUGCCUAACACAUGCAAGUCGAACGGUAGCAGGCCUUCGGGUGCUGACGAGUGGCGGACGGGUGAGUAAUGCGUAGGAAUCUGUCUUUUAGUGGGGGACAACCCAGGGAAACUUGGGCUAAUACCGCAUGAGCCCUGAGGGGGAAAGCGGGGGAUCUUCGGACCUCGCGCUAAGAGAAGAGCCUACGUCUGAUUAGCUAGUUGGUAGGGUAAAGGCCUACCAAGGCGACGAUCAGUAGCUGGUCUGAGAGGACGACCAGCCACACUGGGACUGAGACACGGCCCAGACUCCUACGGGAGGCAGCAGUGGGGAAUUUUUCGCAAUGGGGGCAACCCUGACGAAGCAAUGCCGCGUGGAUGAAGAAGGCCUUCGGGUUGUAAAGUCCUUUCGUGGGGGACGAAAAGGUGGUUCCUAAUACGAGCUGCUGUUGACGUGAACCCAAGAAGAAGCACCGGCUAACUCCGUGCCAGCAGCCGCGGUAAUACGGGGGGUGCAAGCGUUAAUCGGAAUCACUGGGCGUAAAGGGUGCGUAGGCGGUACGUUAGGUCUGUCGUGAAAUCCCCGGGCUCAACCUGGGAAUGGCGGUAGAAACCGGCGAACUAGAGUAUGGGAGAGGGUGGUGGAAUUCCAGGUGUAGCGGUGAAAUGCGUAGAGAUCUGGAGGAACAUCAGUGGCGAAGGCGGCCACCUGGCCCAAUACUGACG
rnacentral:rRNA from 1 species